UGGGGAAUUUUGGACAAUGGGCGAAAGCCUGAUCCAGCAAUGCCGCGUGUGUGAAGAAGGCCUUCGGGUUGUAAAGCACUUUUGUCCGGAAAGAAAUCCUUGGCUCUAAUACAGUCGGGGGAUGACGGUACCGGAAGAAUAAGCACCGGCUAACUACGUGCCAGCAGCCGCGGUAAUACGUAGGGUGCAAGCGUUAAUCGGAAUUACUGGGCGUAAAGCGUGCGCAGGCGGUUUGCUAAGACCGAUGUGAAAUCCCCGGGCUCAACCUGGGAACUGCAUUGGUGACUGGCAGGCUAGAGUAUGGCAGAGGGGGGUAGAAUUCCACGUGUAGCAGUGAAAUGCGUAGAGAUGUGGAGGAAUACCGAUGGCGAAGGCAGCCCCCUGGGCCAAUACUGACGCUCAUGCACGAAAGCGUGGAGAGCAAACAGGAUUAGAUACCCUGGUAGUCCACGCCCUAAACGAUGUUAACUAGUUGUUGGGGAUUCAUUUUCCUUAGUAACGUAGCUAACGCGUGAAGUUGACCGCCUGGGGAGUACGGUCGCAAGAUUAAAACUCAAAGGAAUUGACGGGGUCAUAGCUGUU
rnacentral:rRNA from 1 species